rnacentral:rRNA from 1 species
GACGGAGGGGGCAAGCGUUGUUCGGAAUUAUUGGGCGUAAAGGGCUCGUAGGCGGACGUGUGUGUCUGGCGUGAAAUCUCCACUGCUUAACAGGGAGAGGCCGCUGGAAACUGCACGUCUGGAGUUUGGCAGAGGAAUGUGGAAUUCCGCAUGUAGCGGUGGAAUGCGUAGAUAUGCGGAAGACACCGUGGCGAAGGCGGCAUUCUGGGCCAAAACUGGACGCUGAGGAGCGAAAGCCAGGGGAGCAAACGGG